rnacentral:rRNA from 1 species
AACGAACGCUGGCGGCGUGGAUAAGACAUGCAAGUCGAGCGGAGUAUCGCGGGUAGCAAUAUUCGUGAUACUUAGCGGCGAAAGGGUGAGUAACACGUAGAUCAUCUACCUCCAAGUGUGGAAUAGCUCGGCGAAAGCCGGAUUAAUACCGCAUGUGGUUGAGGAACGCAUGUUCCGAAAACUAAAGUCGGGGAUCGUAAGACCUGAUGCUUGGAGAUGAGUCUGCGGCCUAUCAGCUUGUUGGCGGGGUAACGGCCCACCAAGGCUAAGACGGGUAGCUGGUCUGAGAGGACGACCAGUCACACUGGAACUGAGACACGGUCCAGACACCUACGGGUGGCAGCAGUCGAGAAUUUUUCGCAAUGGGCGCAAGCCUGACGGAGCGACGCCGCGUGGGGGAUGAAGGUCUUCGGAUUGUAAACUGCUGUCAGUGGGGAAGAAACCCUUAUAUUUAAAAGAUGUAAGGCUGACAUCACCCACAAAGGAAGCCACGGCUAACUCUGUGCCAGCCGCCGCCGUAA